UGGAUAGAUAGAUUUUUUCUAGUGGAAGAUACUCUGGACGAGCAUUGGGGCGGUCUCCAGGUGAGCUGGAACUGCUUUGCAAAUAAGAGAAAGGGGAAAAUGAGGCACAACUUUGAAGAAAAUGCCGUAAUAAAGGAGCUGAAGGCCAUUGUUCAACAUGACAAGAUUUCAAUUGGUGAAUUGAUCGAAGUCGAAAGCAAAUGGUGGGAUGCCACAUAUGUGACGGGGGAUCUAGUGGAGGCCGAACAUUAAAAUAAUAUAUCGAUAGAGGGUAAUAACUUGUGACUUUGUCUUUCAUUAAUUUUUCUUACUGAGAUUCUUUUGUUGGUACAGAAAUGUCGAGUCGGGCAAAGAAUAUUGAGAAACUCAUUAGGAAGAAGAAGAAAGCUGGGCGAACUCUAGCUAAAGAGAAAGAGACUGAUACUCCUGCGUCAAAGAAGGCUACGAUCGCUACUCUUUUGACCUCGCCAACCUCCAGCAAGCAACAAGCUGACACUCCAGUGACUGCCUCAGAGUCGAGAGAAAGAGAGACACAAGCACGCGAUCCUCCCCAACAUCCACCUCAAACUGUUGAGCAACUUCUGGAUGGGCAAUCUGUUGUGGAUAACCUCAAGCUUGCGAGCUGGUUUGGCAAGAGAUACACCCUCCCCUUAGACCGAGCUCGAUUGGAGGGCGAGCAUGAUGAGGAACUGGCACUCCGAGCGAUAUCCCUUCAACUAGAGCAGAUUGCAUGUACCCAGCUCUUGAGGGAGAGGGCUGGGUCGCUGCGAGGACAUAUUCGCACUCAAGAGGCAGAGAUCACGUUGCUGAAUGAAAUGGUCUCUGUCUUUGAGAAGAUGAUUCAGGACUUAGAGGCCGAGCUGCAAAUGUCGAAGGAGAGGUCCUCUGCCCUCGAAGGAGAGCUGCAAAUGUCGAAGGAGAGGUCCUCUGCCCUCGAAGGAGAGCUCCAGGGCACCCUAGAGAGGCAUACUGUUGAGCUAGCCGAGCUGAGGAAAAAGGUUAGGGAGCUGGAGGCCGAACUUACCUGCUCUGGCGACCAGUUGGCCAAGAUCUACAUCAAGGUCCAAAAUGACAUUUUGGUUGAGCUACAGAAACGAUACCCAGCAGAUGACUUCUCCUGGGUUGAAAAUCUCGGUGGGGCCGAGGAGGAGGAGGUUGAGCAUGUACAUGGGCAGGGGGACAAAGAUGAAGAUGUAAGAUAGCUUGGGACUUUGAUUCGAAUAAGACAAAUUGCUAAUCAAUUUGCUUAAGUAGGAUAGCUUGAAAUCAAAGUUCGAAUAAGAUAAAUUCAAGAUAAAAAGCAGAAGUAAGAUUGCUUGGAAUUUCAGCACAAAUAAAAUGAAGGAUAAAAUAAAUAAGUGAUAUCGCUCGGUAUUUUUGUUCGAAUGGCAAAGCAUUUUGCUUUAAGUAGUGUUGCUUGUAACCUUUUUUCAAACUUAAUUAUAAGCAAGAUGAUUUGCUGAAGUAUGAUUGCUCGGAAUCAAAUUUCGAAUAAAAUGUACUACAGGAUGAUGUGAUUAAGUUAAAUUGCUCAGAAUCUUUG
rnacentral:misc_RNA from 1 species